rnacentral:rRNA from 1 species
GAUGAACGCUGGCGGCGUGCCUAAUACAUGCAAGUCGAGCGAACAGACGAGGAGCUUGCUCCUCUGACGUUAGCGGCGGACGGGUGAGUAACACGUGGAUAACCUACCUAUAAGACUGGGAUAACUUCGGGAAACCGGAGCUAAUACCGGAUAAUAUAUUGAACCGCAUGGUUCAAUAGUGAAAGACGGUUUUGCUGUCACUUAUAGAUGGAUCCGCGCCGCAUUAGCUAGUUGGUAAGGUAACGGCUUACCAAGGCAACGAUGCGUAGCCGACCUGAGAGAGUGAUCGGCCACACUGGAACAGAGACACGGUACAGACUCCUACGGGAGGCAGCAGUAGGGAAUCUUCCGCAAUGGGCGAAAGCCUGACGGAGCAACGCCGCGUGAGUGAUGAAGGUCUUCGGAUCGUAAAACUCUGUUAUUAGGGAAGAACAAAUGUGUAAGUAACUAUGCACGUCUUGACGGUACCUAAUCAGAAAGCCACGGCUAACUACGUG